rnacentral:rRNA from 1 species
UACGAAGGGGGCUAGCGUUGCUCGGAAUCACUGGGCGUAAAGCGCACGUAGGCGGCCCCUUUUGUCGCGUGUGAAAGCCCCGGGCUCAACCUGGGAGGUGCGCGCGAAACGGGGGGGCUUGAGUUCGGGAGAGGAGCGUGGAAUUCCCAGUGUAGAGGUGAAAUUCGUAGAUAUUGGGAAGAACACCGGUGGCGAAGGCGGCGACCUGGUCCGUGACUGACGCUGAGGCGCGAAAGCGUGGGGAGCGAACAGG